UACGGGGGGUGCGAGCGUUGUCCGGAAUCACUGGGCGUAAAGGGUGCGUAGGCGGCGCGGUAAGUCGGGUGUGAAAUCUCGGAGCUUAACUCCGAAACUGCAUUCGAUACUGCCGUGCUUGAGGACUGGAGAGGAGACUGAAUUUACGGUGUAGCGGUGAAAUGCGUAGAUAUCGUAAGGAAGACCAGUGGCGAAGGCGGGUCUCUGGACAGUUCCUGACGCUGAGGCACGAAGGUCAGGGGAGCAAACGGG
rnacentral:rRNA from 1 species